GAUGAAGAACGCAGCGAAAUGCGAUAAGUAGUGUGAAUUGCAGAAUUCAGUGAAUCAUCGAAUCUUUGAACGCACAUUGCGCCCUCUGGUAUUCCGGAGGGCAUGCCUGUUCGAGCGUCAUUUCAACCCUCAAGCCCCCGGGCUUGGUGUUGGGGAUCGGCGAGCCUCCGCGCCCGCCGUCCCCUAAAUCUAGUGGCGGUCUCGCUGUAGCUUCCUCUGCGUAGUAGCACACCUCGCACUGGGAAACAGCGCGGCCACGCCGUUAAACCCCCAACUUCUGAACGUUUGACCUCGGAUCAGGUAGGAAUACCCGCUGAACUUAAGCAUAUCAAUAAGCGGAGGA
rnacentral:misc_RNA from 1 species